GAGUCCACACCCAGGGGGUGCUCCCGGGCAUUGCUCAGCCUGGCUGGGCACCGAAGGUUCCCCCUUUGCUGGCGGGGAACCCGAUGAAUUCUUCAGCCGGCUGCCAAGCUGCUUCUUGGCAGGAGGGUGGGCGGGUGCUCUGGGCUGGGUGUGAAAUGGGAGCCCGGCUCUGCCCCCAGCCUCUGCCACUGCCCCUUUGCUGGGCGGGGCUGGGGCAGGGGCAGCCAGCCUGCCAAAAACAAACCCCCGUGGGGGGAGCAAAGGUGGGGCUGCAGAACACCAGCUGCUUUGGGCUGCAGGCCAGGAAAGGCUUGGGCUGCCUUGGCUUAGGAGCCUUUCUUUGGGGCAAUGCAGCAGGGCAGGGAGAAGGCCUGGGUUUUCCUGAGCUGGAGGAGGUGGGGUUUUUCUUUGGUGUGGAGGGGUUGGGCCUUCCUCAGAACCCUGACAGAAUGUUAACAUUUCACCUUUUUUUCUUGUUUCCACUUUUUGUUUGUAAUCUCUUGUCAUGAAUUUGUUGUUUGUUUUCGAGGGAAGAGUUGGAGCUGGUGCCCAGUCUGGAUUGGGAAGGGCUGGGACCAUCCCUGGAGAGGAUCUGACGUCCCCUCUGAGAAGGCUGAGGACAUCCUUUGGGACACGCUCUUCUUCCUGCAGCAGAUCUUGUGAGACAGGACACCUCUGCCUGAUCUCCCACAGAUCUGAGGGAUCACUGGAUCUUCAUGCCAGCACCAGGACUUUGCUGCAGAAGAGCACAGAUCCCCAGCCCAGUCUGGGACACAGAACCUGUGAAAUGGCAGAAGGAUUGUGGUGUGAAUGCAGCGCCCUCAGAGCCCUUGGUGUGAGCCCGGAAAGGAAAAUCAAGGGAAAUGGUUAAAGCCUUGUUGUUCAGUGUGGAGCACAGGAGAACUUUGUUCUCAUCGUCUCCCCGAUAAGGAGGAGGACUCAGAUCUUCUGGUUGGCCCCACGGGCAGGUUGAGUGGGGGAACAGAGAAUCAAGAUGCAGAAACCAAUCUUGCAGGGGAACUGGCAUGUGAAGAGGCAGCUUUAGCAUGUCCAGAAGAAAAGGGAGAGAGAAUGUGUCAGAGAGAGAGCAGAGAGCUUCAGUGCAGCUGCAGGAAGAACUAGAGCUGAACAAGGAGGGCUGGGAGUGGCCCCCCUGUGUGAUAGAACCCAGACUAAAUGGCAAAAGCCUUCAAAAUGAU